GACGAACGCUGGCGGCAUGCUUUACACAUGCAAGUCGUGCGGCAGCGCGGGGGCAACCCUGGCGGCGAGCGGCGAACGGGUGAGGAAUACAUCGGAACGUACCCCGGAGUGGGGGAUAACCCAGCGAAAGUUGGACUAAUACCGCAUAUGCUCUGAGGAGGAAAGCAGGGGACUUCGCAAGAGGCCUUGCGCUCUGGGGAGCGGCCGAUGUCCGAUUAGCUAGUUGGUGGGGAAUGGCUCACCCAAGGCGACGAUCGGUAGCUGGUCUGAGAGGGAUGAUCAGCCACACUGGGACUGAGACACGGCCCAGACUCCUACGGGAGGCAGCAGUGGGGAAUUUUUGGAC
rnacentral:rRNA from 1 species